CGGUAGGGUGCAGGCGUUAAUCGGAAUUACGUGGGCGUAAAGCGUGCGCAGGCGGUUUGUUAAGACAGGUGUGAAAUCCCCGGGCUUAACCUGGGAACUGCGCUUGUUACUGGCAGACUUGAGUGUGGCAGAGGGGGUGGAAUUCCAGGUGUAGCAGUGAAAUGCGUAGAGAUCUGGAGGAACACCGAUGGCGAAGGCAGCCCCCUGGGUUAACACUGACGCUCAUGCACGAAAGCGUGGGGAGCAAACAGGAUUAGAUACCCUGGUAGUCCACGCCCUAAACUAUGUCAACUGGUUGUCGGGGAAGCAAUUCCUUGGUAACGAAGCUAACGCGUGAAGUUGACCGCCUGGGGAGUACGGCCGCAAGGUUA
rnacentral:rRNA from 1 species